rnacentral:rRNA from 1 species
UACGAAGGUCCCAAGCGUUAUCCGGAUUUAUUGGGUUUAAAGGGUGCGUAGGCGGGCUAUUAAGUCAGUGGUGAAAGCCCCAAGCUUAACUUGGGAACUGCCAUUGAUACUGAUGGUCUUGAGUACAUUUGAGGUGGGCGGAAUGUGUCAUGUAGCGGUGAAAUGCAUAGAUAUGACCCGGAACACCGAUUGCGAAGGCAGCCCACUAAGCAACGAUUGACGCUGAGGCACGAAAGCGUGGGGAUCAAACAGG